rnacentral:rRNA from 1 species
GACGAACGCUGGCGGCGCGCCUAACACAUGCCAGUCGAACGGAGUCACGAGGAGCUUGCUUUUCUUGACUUAGUGGCGAACGGGUGAGUAACGCGUGAGUAACCUGCCCUGGAGUGGGGGACAACAGUUGGAAACGACUGCUAAUACCGCAUAAGCCCACGGAUCUGCAUGGAUCUGCGGGAAAAGGAUUUAUUCGCUCUAGGAUGGACUCGCGUCCAAUUAGCUAGUUGGUGAGGUAACGGCCCACCAAGGCGACGAUUGGUAGCCGGACUGAGAGGUUGAACGGCCACAUUGGGACUGAGACACGGCCCAGACUCCUACGGGAGGCAGCAGUGGGGGAUAUUGCACAAUGGGGGAAACCCUGAUGCAGCGACGCCGCGUGGAGGAAGAAGGUUUUCGGAUUGUAAACUCCUGUCGUGAGGGACGAUAAUGACGGUACCUAACAAGAAAGCACCAGCUAACUACGUG